UUUUAUUCAUGGAAUUUUUCACCUUCAGAAUUUCUUUUUGGUUCCUUAUGAUUUUUAUCCCUUGGGUAAAUAACUCAUUUUGCUCAUGUAUUUUUUUCCCCCUGAUUACAUUGAAUUGUCUGAGUUUUCUUGUAGUUCGUUGCUUCUUCAGAACAGCUAUUUUGAAUUAUCAGGAGAUCGCAAAAUUCCAUACUUUUGAGAGCAUGGUUGUUGGAAAAUUAUUUUGGUGAUGAUGUGUUCCCUUGAUUUUUCCUGUUCCUGUUUUUUGGCUUGCUCCUUUCACAUUUGAAGUAGCUGACAUCUCCUUAAAUCUUUAUCAGUUGCCUUCAGAUGGGGUAUACUAUUCAUUGGUGCUGUUAUAUUUGGGGUUUUCUCUGCUUUUGUAUAGAUAUACCUGGAUACAUACACUCUUCUUGUCCCUCUUAUGGAAGAAUUCUUAAGCUUUUGUGGCUUCCCUGGUUCUUACCACUCACCAGUGCCCACUGGAAUCCUCUCAUUUUCCAGAAGGUGGUGCUAUAGCUCAAGUUUGUGGUUUCUCUCUAGCCCACCUAACCUGGUCUUUCUGAUGGUGUUUACUCAACUUACCGUUGCAUUUGCACUCCAGCAUGUACAAGGAGCUGACUGCAGGGUCGGUGGAGAUGUUGGUUUAGCCCUUGGGGUAUUGGAGGUGCCCGUGGACCUGACCCAGUGGGGUGAAACUUGGGUGAAUCAUGCCCAGAGGCUUGUGGGCAGACUUCCUGAGCACUGUCAGCAGGAACUACAUUCCUUUAAUGCCCUUCGAUAUUAUUUCACUCUUUCCCAGACCACCCUAGCCCCAGUUAUAAAGGUCCCUCACCACUGGGGUAGCCAGGCACUCACUGCUUUCCUUUCCCCCAUGAGAGGAGUUACCACUGCUGGAUAGUUCAGCCCUGUGUAGUGUUGCUUUGUGAAAGUUCCUCUUAUAGUCCUAACUGAACCAAACUUCUGUUUUUUGCUCCCAUGGUGUGCUGGAAUCUCCUCUUGUGAAGUCUGGAUUUUUGUGGAUUGUCAUCCAUGCAUAUCCACCUAGGACAGCACUCUCCAGGUUUGUCCCUUAUUGCAGCAAGAAGGUUUGAGGCAGUUUUGCUGGUUCUGCAGCCUGUAACAAGGUCUGUAUGCCUCUUACUGGAUGUGCAGGUGGGCAAGACUCCUCCCAGGUCCCUUGGCAGAUGGUGCUCAUUCCCACAACUCCCAAAACAGUGCUUUUGUUCACGGAUGCAUGUCUAAUUCAUUGUUAAAAAAGGAGGACAAAAAACAUUUUACACCACUAUGAUCCUGAUCAACUGAGUAGUUUUUAAGAUAGUUCUAUUAUCCCUAAUCUUUCAAUGCAAAUAAAAUCAAUUAUCACUAAAACUAUUUCAUGAUCCCUAAGAGUAUUCUAGGAACUGCUUUUUAGUAUCAAUAGGUGCAUCACAAAGUUGUGCAUGUUAGAGAGCAAAGAGGUGAUAUUUCAAUAGUUCCUUGUAAAUAAUACUUUAUGUGAAUGAUAAUAGUACAAUGUAUUUUAUAACUAGAGGACCAUCCCAGGAGCCACUGUAACACUAGUUCUUUUCAAGGAAAUUAACUGGAAUAAAAGAAAGGCUACAAAAGAGUUUUUGUCCUGUUUUCUUAAAGUGGUAGUAAGACUGGAUCAAGAUGGCAGACAGGACAGAACGACCUACUAUCCCUCUUAAUGCUAAAUCCUAUAUAAAGUGCUAAAGCAGAAGAAAAAUAAAUCUGCUACAGUACUGAAAAAUAGGAGCUAGCAAAAGUAGACAUUUUGAAAAAUGCCAGAAACAUCAAAAGCAAAUGGAAUCGGGAAUGGUCAACAUGGUGACCGCCAUAAGGUGCCUCAGGAGAGUUUUGAUACAUCAUCAAAAGUAUAGUCUUUCCAAGAUGGCUUAUCAGACACAUCCUUGUUCUACAUGUUCAGGUGCCCAGCAGACAUUUUGCUGCUGCUACAAAGCCUGCAAAGAAAACAAAAAAAGGUGUGAAAGACAAAGCAUCAGAUGAGAAAAAAGAUGAAAUAGGAAAAAUAAAGUCCUACUGCUUUAUGGAAGGUGAACCUGAGGAUGAUGUCUACUUAAAGCAUUUAUAUCCAAGGCAGAUAUAGGAGGUGGAGAAAGCUAUUCAGUUACUUAAGAAAUUUUAAACUCUAGAGUUUACUAAUCUAAAGUAAGGUGUUUAUCUUGAUUUGACACUGGAUAUGGCACUGGGGAAGAAGAAAAAAGUGGAGCCAUUUGCCAGUGUUCUUUGUUUUCCAUACCCAUUCGUUUCAGAAAUCAAUAAAGUUGCUGUAUUUACAGGGAAUGCAGCAGAGAUUAAAAUAGCAGAAGAAAAUGGAGCUGUAUUUGCAGGGGGAAUUAAUCUAAUUCAGAAGAUUUUGGAUGAUGAAAUUCAAUCAGACUUUUAUGUAGCUGUUCCAGAAAUAAUGCCCGAGCUUAAACCAUUAAAGAAAAAGCUGAAAAAAAGAUUUCCAAAACUAACUAGAAAUUCCAUUGGCCGUGACAUCCCCCAAAUGCUUGAAUUAUUUAAAAUUGGACAUGAAAUUAAAGUAGAUGAAGAAAGGGAGAACUUUCUCGAGACCAAAACAGAAACACUGCAUACGCUAAGUGACCAGAUAGCUGCAAAUCUGCCAGCAGUUAUCAGUGAAAUUUAUAAGCACAGACCACUCAGUUUGGGACCUUCGUGGUAUGAGCUUUCCUUCAUACUUCAACAAGUGAAGGUUUGUUACUAAAGAUCAAGCCAUUGUUGUCUAAAGAAGUAGAAACCGCAGAAAGUAACAAAGAAGAUGCCUAAAAAUAUUAUAUUAUGAAAUUACUUUCAGUGGAUUAAGAAGCAACAAAGAAAAUUAUAAAACUGUGUAAUUUCUUUAAAAAAAAAGGGCAGAUAGAAUCAAAGCUAUAGGCAAAUAAAAUGAGGAAACUACAACACAAAACCAGUAAAGACUACUACAAACAGAGGAAUGGGUUAGAACCUAGAAUCAACAGAUGCAGAGAGUAGGAGGGUACUGAUGGGUACUGGGCAGGGUGAUUCAUUAGGGAGUUGAUGCAGAAUAGCUAAAUAAGUCCCAUUCCCCAACCAUGGGCCAAGUGGUAGGUAGAAGGGAUGUCUAUACCCAACCUAUUCCACAACAGUAAGUGAAGCUAUUGCAACUGGAGAAGCAGGGCAGUGCCCCCCAGGUACUUGCCUACCCUCAAGAGAAGAGCACCCUAUACUCAGAAUCAAAAUACUGGCAUAUAUUCACCGGGCAGCACAGCUUACUGCUCCCAUCCACCGAUAGGUGGCUCAGUCGAUUAAGCAUCCCACUCAGUUUUGGCUCAGGUCAUGAUUUCAGGGUCCUGAUAGGAAGCCCUGCAUCAGGCUCCAUGCUCAGCGUGGAGUCUGCUUGUCUCUCUCCCUCUGCUCCUCGCUCCCCCCCCCACCUGUGUACUUUCUCUCUCUCAAAUAAAUAAAAUCUUAAAAAAUCCACAAAAAGAAACUGCAACACAAAAGUGAGCAACUAAAUAAACUGCAACCAUGAAUCACUGAAAUAUUUCAAGAAAGCCAAUAAUAUGAAAGGCCCAAACAACAAAAAAUUUUUUAAAAGUCCACAGAAUAAAGAACUCUAUUAAAUAUCCCAGAGGCAUAGAAGAGGAUAUCAGAGCCAUUAAAUUAAAAAAAAAAAAAAAAUCAGGCCAAAUAGUCAAGGGAUACAGCUGAAGAGCAAAGCUGUCAGCAGGAUGGUCACAAGGUGUCUCCCAUUACUCACCCUAGAAGUACAGAUGGAGAAAGUAUGAAGCUAAAAGGUACUGAGACAGGUCCAAAAAUUACAACAUCUACCUAACAGAGAGGAGAUAAAUGAGAAAAUGUAGAGAGACAAAUCGAGUGGAAGAGAUUCCUUUGGUCUGGAGUCUUGGGUUCUAAAGGGUUCAUCCCCAGUCAGUAUAGAACCAGAUGAUGUUUUAAAAGGAAAAUUUCAAAGUACCAACACUACAGAACAAAUCCUAAAAACUGCCAGAGGCUAAGGAAAACAGAUUAUAUACAAGUUAACACUACUGGCAUCAGGCCUCUCUUUGACAAGAAUAUAUGAAGACAAAAAAAAAUUACUUUGAACUAAGAAUUCUAGACUUCCAGUUUCCAGUCCUGCAUGUAAGAAGUUUAGAAGUUGCUACUCUGUCCUAAUAGCAAGAAAAAGCUGAACAAACAGCUCUUCCUAGAUCCAUAAGGGAAGUGAGGUCAAAGUGCAAGCCACUGUCCCCCAAAUGGGAGAGACAGGCAAAGCUAGAAAACUACAACCUACUGGAGCAGUUACCUCCAAGGGAAUCAGUGCCAGGGCAGGAAAACCUGAACAGCAACUGACAAAUUGCUACCUACCUUAUAGGUGAAAAGUAAUUUAAGAAUAACAUCCAACUUUGCAGAAACCAUGGAAGGAAGGAGGGAGGAGUAAAUAUUUAAGUGUUGAGAGGGGGGAAAACCACCAACCUAGAAUUCUGUAGCAUAGCUCAAAGUAAGCAGGAACGGUAUGAUUUCUAUUCUGUAAAAAUUUUCAGUGUGUUUUAGG